GCGCGAUUUGGUGCCCGGCGACGGGGUAAGACGAUCCGGUCGAACGUUGGUCGGGUGCAGUGGGCUUAAAGGGUGCGUAGGCGGGCGGCAAGUUCGGGGGUGAAAUCUCACGGCCCAACCGUGAAACGGCCUCCGAUACGGGCCGCCUCGAGGUAGGUAGGGGCACGCGGAACGUCCGGUGGAGCGGUGAAAUGCGUAGAUAUCGGAAGGAACGCCGGUGGCGAAAGCGGCGUGCUGGGCCUUCUCUGACGCUGAGGCGCGAAAGCCAGGGGAGCGAACGGGAUUAGAUACCCGGGUAGC
rnacentral:rRNA from 1 species